AUCUAUUUCCAGCAAAUAAAACCAAACCUGUCCUCACUGUGUCUCCAUCCUGGCUGAGUCCUGGAGCCUCAGUAACUCUGAGCUGCAGUGUUAAAGAUCCAUCUGCAGGAUGGAGGUUCUUCUGGUUUAAGGCUGUUCCCAAACUAUCAGGCAACUCCUACGACCAAGAGCUGCUACCUGGCAGCAGCAACGGGACUGAACAGGAUUCCUACAUCGUUCAUGGACAGACACACACAGCAGGAUAUAAGUGCAGAGCUGGAAGAGGAGAUCCAGUGAACUACACUAAUUAUAGUAACACUAUGUUUGUCUGGUCUAAAGAUUUUCAUCCAGCAACAGUCAGAGUGAGUCCUGACAGAGAGCAGCACUUUUCCUCUGAGCCUGUCUCACUGAGCUGUGAGGGAAACUCUUCUUAGUGGAGAGUGAGGAGGUUCACUAAAGCCGGCCAUCUGUCAAACUGUUCUAAGUGGGGAACAAUGACUGGAUCCACAUGCAACAUCAACGAACUUCCAAACAAAACUGCAGUGUACUGGUGUGAGUCUGAAUCAGCUCAAUUCAGUAACGCGGUCAACAUCACCGUACAAACAGCGCCUGAUGACUCUUCAUUUCUUCUGCUGUUGAUUGUUCGGCCAGUUUGUGGAAGUUUACUG